UAUAUGUUAGUGUUAAACUGCACAGAAAGUUUUGAUCUUUCAAGAUUUGGAAUAUUCCAUAACAUAUAU
rnacentral:tRNA from 1 species